rnacentral:rRNA from 1 species
UACAGAGGGGGCAAGCGUUGUUCGGAAUUACUGGGCGUAAAGGGCGCGUAGGCGGCCUGUUAAGUCGAACGUGAAAUCCCCGGGCUCAACCCGGGAACUGCGUCCGAUACUGGCAGGCUUGAAUCCGGGAGAGGGAUGCAGAAUUCCAGGUGUAGCGGUGAAAUGCGUAGAUAUCUGGAGGAAUACCGGUGGCGAAGGCGGCAUCCUGGACCGGCAUUGACGCUGAUGAGCGAAAGCCAGGGGAGCAAACGGG